AGAGAUAGAUCCAUCUGAGUGGGAUCACACCGACAUAGACAGAUAUGGAUUGGGUGGUGUACGAACGCCAGAGCAGUUCUAUCAAUACUUUGGUAUCGAUGUAGUCAAGAAGAAGACACAGGGACAUCUAUGUGAAUUCGUGCAAGG
rnacentral:ribozyme from 1 species